GCUUUAAAAAUUUUCACCGUUCUUUCUUCUGUCCUCUGGUCUCCGAAAAUCAUUCCGGCUCUCGAAGAUGGGAGAUCAAACGGUCUUGUCCAAAAACAGCAGUAGCAGUGAUAGCUCUAUCGUGGACAUUUAUCCAUCUGCACGCAUGGUAACCAAGUGGUUACUCUGUAUUAACUCGUCAGUUCACGUCAUCUAUAUUUUAGCCGAGAAUAGGAUUUAUUGAUUGAUUAUCCGAAGUUUUGAACUAAACGGGUUUCCAAACUUAAGGUACGCUGCAAAUGGGUUAGGGACUUGCAUUGAAGCAGUUAUUCUGGGUAAUUAGUUCUCUGUUUCUUUUGAAUUCAUUCUUUUCAGUUUACUUUAUAGGGUUAAGAUCGUAACUUUUAAUCUGUUUGUGUGUUUGAUGGAAUAUCAAGUAUAAAUAUGGCUUUUGGCAGCUAAGGGUGAUCUCCCUGAAAAUAUUAAACGGUCCUCCUAUCUUCUUUUUUAUGAACAAACUUGUUUCUGGUGUGCACCAAAUCAUAGUUACAUCGAUUCUUGAAUAUCCCCAUUUAACUCUAGCAGAUUGUAGUUUCUAAAUCUCCAUCCUCAUGGUUUGGUUAUAGCUUUUGGAAGGGAUGUGAAGCUUGCAAUUUUAAACCGUGUUGCCCACAUAGUUUUGGUAGAAGAUCACUAAUUGAAAAAUGAAUUCUUUUGGGAUAGAAUAGUAACAGAAAUUAUAGAAAAAGUCGGUUCAAUUCAUCUGAAAAUUAUUCCCUGGUUAAUGCCUGUGUUCAGAACUAGCUAGAGCUAGGUCACUAGUUGAAACAUAUUUCUUAUUGUAGCAUUAGGAUGCUGAUGAGUUGGAGUAAUGCCAUUUAUACUAAACCUGCUUUUGAUCACAUUGGACUCUGCAUGCACAAUGUUGGCAUUUGGAAAGAUGGGGCUAGGAAACUUUAUACAUUUGAGCUUCUGCAUGAGAUCAUCAUGCAUGAUGCUACUUUUUGACAUCUAGCUUGGUUUUAGUUAUUUUGGUGGAGUGUUGAGAGUCUGUCAUCCUAAGUUGGCUACACCAGUCCAAAGUGCUUUUGGGCAUCCAAUUCCUUUUGAGGAAUCUUUUUCAUUCUUUUGGUGCUUAUUUAUUGGUGAAUGUUAUUUUUACCAAGAAACUGUAGGAGUAUAAGAUCGUUGAGUUUUUUAAAGACUAUCUCUCAGAGAUUAGGUUCAUUCAAAAACACAUGCUGGGGGUCCACACUGGCACAUUUACUCAGUGUAAACAGAGCUGAAAUUCUGUACAGACUAGCUAACACUUUCUGCAAGAUUGUCUGGUUCUACCACCAGAUUAUUUCUAUUACAAACUGUUUGGCAAAACUUUACCUAUUUAUGUUAAUGCCAUAUCAAUCCAUGAUGCAACCUUGUUAGAACAUCAGAUUGAAGGGCUUCACUUUAGGCUUAAAGGUUUAUUUCAUAGAUUUUUCAUUUGCUUAUAUUGCCUUCAGUUUUUCACUUUAGGCUUAAAGGUUUAUUUCAUAGAUUUUUCAUUUGCUUAUAUUGCCUUCAGUUUUUCACUUCAGGUUUAAAGGUCUGAAUUGCUUCUCAGGAGGUAUGAUCAUAUGCUCAGUAUUUUACUGAUUGUAGUGCUUUUGUAUGGACAACUAUGUUGGGGUUGCUCUUCUUUGAACCUUGAGAUUAUCAUUUCUGUUAGUUAAGUUUUUUACUACAUGUUAUCUCUUUGAAAAGACCAGGAAAUUGUUGUUAGAACAGGUAGAACCUUUUAAACAUCCUCAAUUGUUGGUACUGCAAGUAAGGAACUUCUUCUUUAAGCUUCCUGGUUGCCACUUAAGACCUGGUGAAUCGGGUAUGCUUCCAUGAUGACAUCUAUAUUUUCUAUUGGCAACAUAAUUAUUAGGUGCUACUGCUGUUGGCAACAUAUUUUCUGACUUUGGAGCUAAUCACUUCUCUGGGUUUCAGGCUAAUCCAUUAAGUAGUACACUGUUUUGGUACUUAUGCAGCUUUAGCCAGGUGCUACUGCUCUAGUAACUUUAUAGGGCCUUUUUGUUUAGGAUGCACAUGCUUGAUACCUAGGAAUUUCGGAAAAAAAAAUGGGUAUAUUUGAUUUCUUGGAUAUGCAUGUACUUAACGAUUACUUAAGUAGUCUGCUGAGCUUUUGAGGAAUUGUUUUGUAGAUACUGAUGGACUGAAGCAAAAAUUUUCGAGCAAUCUCUCUAUUAAUGAAGAUGGCAUCAGGACUGAUUGGAAGGUAGAAAAAUGCCUUGGAGUGUAGUGGAGGCCUGACUUCAAAAUUUUCUCUACUCAAAUUUUCCACCAAAUGUGAAAAAGCGCAAGGUUCUUGCCUCUUACAAGCAUAUUAUCCAAUAAUUUCUGGAGUUCCACUUCUGCUGUCUAAAUUCUCCUUCAACAUGAUUGAAUGUUGAAUCGACCUCUUCAAUUGGGAUCAUCUGGUUAUUGAGCAGAAAUUGUCCAGGGAACACUUGUAAGAAAUGAAAUUUUUGAAGGGGUGUACUCGUAAUGAUGACUUUUUGAUGCUUACUGUGUGAUCUCAGCAUAGUUGUAGAUAUCAUAUCCCUUUAGAGGUGUUGCUGUCAUAGAAGCAGCAAAAUUUGA